rnacentral:rRNA from 1 species
UACAGAGGUGGCAAGCGUUGUUCGGAAUUACUGGGCGUAAAGGGCGCGUAGGCGGUCUUUUAAGUCUUGUGUGAAAUCCCUCGGCUUAACUGAGGAACUGCACGGGAUACUGGAAGACUUGAGUUCGGGAGAGGGAAGCGGAAUUCCGGGUGUAGCGGUGAAAUGCGUAGAUAUCCGGAGGAACACCGGUGGCGAAGGCGGCUUCCUGGACCGACACUGACGCUGAGGCGCGAAAGCUAGGGGAGCAAACGGG